UCGUACUACACUGUAACUACUUUAUAAAGUACAGACAAAUUAAAUCCGGUACUUAUUUACACGUUUAUUCCAAUUUCGCUUAGAUCGUAUCAUUUCAUUAUAUAUUUAUCGGUAUUCACAGAUUAGAUGAGUUCUAAUUGCGUUGAACAUCUUAGAAUUAUAACCGCGAGAACGAUUCCUGACCAAUGGCAGACACAGGAAUGCGUCCUUAGCCAAAACAAAAUCAGCUGGUUGAAUCUCGCCGGCUUUCGUUGGUUGUACUGUUGUUCCAUGUUAUUGCUUUAUAUUUUACUUUCGGAUAUUGUCACUUUCGUAGAAUCAAGUAGAGUCCUGUACUUUCUUUAAAAUGCUCUUCCAGAGUCAUGUGUGAUACUAAAGACGUUUGCAGGACUCUUGUUCGAGCCGUACUUGUGUAUAAGGCAGAGGAGCUUUCAAACGCGCAUUUCUGCCAGCUCAUGAAACUGAAUCAAGCGUGUCUCAUAUCCAACCUGACAGAUCGAUGGAAAUCUCAGGAAUGGCUUGUCCCGGACACCGGCGAAGUAAACGUACCUGUUCUUGAGGAGCUUUUUGGUGACUGCAUUGUGCCUGUCGCGGAUUGCCAGCGCAGUGAGUAUGGCUCACAACUAAAACGAGACAUGACUAUGAAAGAAUACAUGCAAUAUUGGAGGACGUAUCAACGGCCGCGAAUCACUGAAGAUGCUUGGGGAUCGAUCGAGCGAGACAAUUGCUUGUAUCUUAAGGAUUGGCACAUGCAACGAGACGUUCCACAUUAUUUGGCCUAUGAGAUACCUGAAUAUUUUGCUUCUGAUUGGCUGAACGAGUACUGGCGUGAAAAGCGUGAGGGCCACGAUGAUUACCGGUUUGUGUAUAUCGGACCUCAAGGCUCAUGGACACCACUUCAUUGUGACGUGUUCGGCUCGUACUCGUGGUCUGGUAAUGUUUGCGGUCAAAAACUCUGGUUAUUACUUCCUCCCGGUGAGGAGCAAUACUACUGCGAUUGCACAGGUAAAUUAGCUUGUGAUUUGACCGAAAUUGAUCAUCAACACUUCCCAAAAGCGCGAGAACAUCAGUCAGAGUUUGGGGGACCGAUUCGGAUUAGGCAAAAUCCGGGCGACGUUAUCUUUGUGCCAUCCGGAUGGCACCAUCAAGUGCUCAAUGUCACGGAUACGAUAUCCAUCAAUCAUAACUGGUUCAACGCGCACAAUUUGCAUUUUAUAUUCGACAGGCUUUGCGCGGCGGAAGCGGAGGUAAUGAACGAGUUAAGCUUCUUGCAGGGUGAUGAAGAUUUCGAGGCCCAAGUGGAGAUCGUGUUGAGGGCUCAUCAUGGCAUGAAUAGACAGGACUUUAGGGAAAUCCUAACAUUUAUCGCUGAAAAAAGAACGCAACAAGGACUAAACACCGCAUCACCGGAUUCCAUUUUAGAUCUAGAGUACAGUAGAGAAUAUCUGAAGGAUGAGCCGCUGACAAAGAGUACCAGAUCAACUACGUAAUGUUUGAACUCGCCUUAACCGGAACGUGUCCAGCCUUCUUACGCAACUGGUGACUGGAGCUGAACGUAUCCUCGAUCACAGAAAGCCAGCUCCGUUUCUUAUAAAAUAAUCGGCUACUGCCAGUCCCCUGAGGUUCUUUGAACGGACGCGUUAUUCUUGUUGACAGCAUGGUUCUAACCAUCGCUCCACUGACGAAUAUCUAAACAUUAGGAAUAGCGACUCAUGUCUUAUCUUGGAAAAUCACAAAACGAUACGUUAUCAGUUCAAAGGUUCGAUCGGCAUAUUCCACGCAAACGAGGCUGAGUUUGUUCUCCAUUACGGAGAAGGAGGAGCUGAAAACAAACGCUGGCUGGAGGCUAUCUUAGCGACAGUAAUCCGACAGCAUGUAUAUUUUGGAUUCAGUCGAAACAUAGGGAGCUCUGCAUCUUGUGACAACGUAGAAAGCGUUGUAAGAUAAAGAUAAGCCGACGGCUAACAACUACGAUACACAAAUAAAAUACAUAUAAAAAAGUAAAUUAAAGCAAACAAAUCUUAUUUUAAAAACGCUUCUUCGAAGGUAUUUCCUGAACAAUGGGUGCGAUAAGUCGCUAUGUGGGACCAUUUUUGAAAAAAAAAAAUUGAUCUCAUCGAGCUAAUUAUUUUUCCCUUUGACAAUACAUCUGUUAUAAGAUUGGAUUGAACAAAGGGUUUGGGCCUUCCGAGUACGGGACUCUUGAGGCUGACAGCGCGAUCAUUUAGUCUCAGUCGUAGAGGUCCACAGAUUUAUUCGGUACCCGAAUCAUAAUCCUUCUAUAAUUAAGCUUGUUUCCUUUUUCCGGUUUAGACAUUGAGCAACAGCCGGUCGUGGUGCAGUAAAAAAAACUAAACAUUUCUGUUCUUUGUAAAUAUGCGAUUCUAAUGUAUAUUAACAAUUUAAUUUACACAAUAAAAUUUAAAUAGAAAAAACAAUAUCAAAACUGUAACUCCGCUAAGUUCGAUAUCUCGUAAUGGAAACCGUUUUGUUCGAAUAUAAUGGUGAACCACUUUACCAUUUGCAGCCUUACCCACAGUGACCCUUAAAUGUCUACCUAAGGCUUCGCAGGAUCAAGAGUACCCGAAUGGUGAAUAACAGUUCAACUGUUUAUUUUUAUUCUCGUUAAUAAAACAUUCGACUUUUAGACCUGAAAUAUCUCCUGGGAAACGCGAAGUGUCUUGGUCAUCACGAGCCCUCAUUGUUCUCCAUCCACCCAAUAUUUCUUGCCUGUUUCUGUGACAGCUGCUGUCUGUACUAUCUAAUUUCGUUGGCCUACUUUUGUUGUCAUGGCUCAGCUGUGGCCUCAUAAAUAGACAUAGUGUAUUCACAACAGCGCCAAAGGAUAUUCACUGCAACUAUGGUAAAUGCGCUAUGGCAGUCUCAUAUGCUUCACAAACAUCAUUGGGCAAUGUAUCGAAGCAACCGUUCAAGAAGAGUUUCAAAUGCUCACACACAUAUAUACACAGGCAGUAAAUUGUUUCUUGAAGAACUAUACAAGCUCGAUUGUGUGUCAGUUCAUUUUGUUCCAUCGGUGGUAUUAAAUGCUGCUUGCAAAUCAUUUUGUUUUUAGCGAUGUGUUAUAAACUGACUGCUUUAAGUACCCCUUAAUAAUUGAUUAUUUUAUAUAGGAAGUAGCGUUUUCAGUUCCGACAAGCAAGCCACCGCUAAAUGGUUACACUCCACGCUUUCGCACUGUAUACCUAAGCUACGAAAGCAUUUUUACUAAUUGGUAUCAUUCUUCAUCAUAAUUAGUUAUAGACUAUUUGCUAAUUACAUCUAGUAUUUAUGUUCUAAAAACGAUGACAAUGAUAAUAAAUCAGCUUUUGUAGAAACAGACUCGCUUUCGUAGCAACCGCGUCGCAUUAAACUAGUGUUUUCGGUUGUUAAAUGAAGAGCUCGUGGUUCGAGUAUUCGGGGUAGUCGCCCGUUCCUUAGCUGCAACCCCAUAAACAUUUGGCUUAUCGAGGUUGAUGAAAAAAAUGCUAAAUAACAAGUACAUUAGGAACUAGAUGACGAGCAUAAUAUGUUACACAAAAAAAUCAGAUACAACCUUUGCAGGAAAUACCUUGCCGAACGCUUAAAAACAACUGAAAAAGGAUCUUCCCUUUCUUUUAGGGCACUAAACCGAUUUCAUUGGCAUAAAAUAUAGUCAUUAGUUAACUUAAUUACCAAGCUUCUCUAUAUCAUACAGGAAGCCUUGUUAACGAAGUGCAUGACGAAGUACCAUAGAAAGCCCUUCACUGGCUAAUUGACGCCCUACAGAUUUUGAUUCUGUGCACCUUUUGUUAAAGGUGGCAGGUGGUGACGUAUCCGUAUAUUCACAACUGAGCAGGAAGCUUUCAGCGAGAAGGUUUUAUCGGUAAAAAAAGAUAGAGAUUGGUCAGCGCUAGAUACCAAUACAAUGAUUCCAGACCCGAUCCUUUGUUUAAAAAAAAAAAACAAUAUGAUCGUGAUAUUCAUUUCCAAACGCACUUGACAGCUGUUUUUUUAUAAGGACCAAUCUGUGAGUUGUCGUCUCAUCCCAAAGGAGAUUUGUUGGUAUUGAUUCGAGAGGUAGCUGCAAUUAACUUAUCCGCCUCACCUUUUACUUGUAUCUGCUAUUAUACAAGACAAAACAAAGUUACUGUUGAACUUGAUGAUAAAAUAUCCGACACGUUUCUAUAGUAAUCAAUUAGCCUGUUUGAAUCAAAGAAGUCAUCGACGACUUAUGAACUUGAGCACUAACACCGAACCAAGUAUGGUUUGUUGUCUUCGAAAACGAGCAUUUCCAAGCUUCAUUUAAACUUCAACCCAUUGAUGCACGUCGUUGAAGCUAUCUCUAUGCAUUGUCUUGACUAGAGGAUAACAAAUGCGUUUCAGUUUACUUCAAUGAAUGUACGUGCACACCGGUGAUGAAAAUAUAUCACCAAAACAACUAAUUUAUCUAACAUCGACUGAAAACAAACGAAAAAUUGCCCAUGCAUCAUGCGAGCUUCUGCCGAAACGUCAUCGCACUAAAGCUGACGUUGCCCUAAAUUUAUUCUUUUCCUCUUAUUGUUUUAGAAUAGUCGUAUUAUUAUUAUUAACAUUUAAUAUGGCUCAACACAAAAAAGUACGAGUUUCUGAUUCGUUGAUGGCAAGUUUCCUUAUACGUGUACUAAUAGAGCUGCUUGAAUAUCGUUGCUGACCUUUUAUUGAUUGAAUCCCGUAGUCGAAAGGAUAAAUUGAACACAAUGAAGAUUGGAAAAGAAGAAUGGCUUGUCAGGAUGAACAAAUCCCUUUCCUUGUUUCUCCUUUCGCUCGUAGUAGCAAGCGUUAACCAAAGGGUGAUGUAUAGCUUUCACUUAAUAUUGAAUCCGUUGAUCGUAAUUAAAGCGCAGCAAGCAAGUCGAUGCGCAGGACGUGGUCGGUUUCUCGCGACGCGUCUUCUAGCAUGCAAUGGAAGCAUGCCUUAGCAGAGUUGUCCUUUUGUCAACGAACGUGUCCCUUUUACUAGCCCGCCCCCAGUCUAGUGGUUCUUACCCGUCUGGACAAAUAGGUUUGAUAAUAAAUUCAUUCAGUAUGCAUAUAGGCCCGUUGAAUCUGGAACGAAACGUAUCCACUUCCAUAGAAACACUCUUAGUUUUAUAAUAUAAAUAACACUAGAUGUAAAAGUGAUAAUGAAAUACAUACCCAUGAUAGUGGCAUAUUCACAUACCCACAUAAAGACUCAAUUAAAAAUAGAAAACAUAUAUAUUAAAUAUGAGUGAGCAAUAGACAUGCAGAAACACCCUGCUAUGGCCAAAUUAUGUUGGAAAUUACCCUCGGCUGUUCAAGUUGCCAGAAAGUUUUCUUUGAAUUAAUUUCUACUCUACUCUACUAUGAAGAUAUUUUAAUUUUUAAUUCCUAAAUGCUGUCUGUCUAAAAUAAUGUGGGAAAGAUGAGAAAUCAAUUACGUAUGGGUCUCAAAUUAAAAAUGCGUGGCUAACGAAUAUAUAUUGUGGAGAAAACACUAAGAGUGGUCGACAAUCCGUAUUAUAAAAAGCCUAAUCCAUCCACUCUUCACGUGUAUGCAUGAAAACUAAGAUUCUCUUAAAAUGCAUUUCGUGUAAAAAUUUUCUAGGCCAAGUGGAUAUCUUAAUUCGCACGAUGCCCUAUACCUUAAACGUGGUUAUCCCUGUCAGCUGUGUCAUGUACCAAUUUAUAGUAAUCGAUAUGUUUUGUGCUUGACCUCCGUCAGCUGCCAGGGGCUGGCUAAUCAGAUUGAACAUCUCUCCUCCUUUUUGCGGUGGUUUUGCUUAGAACCACUGCUUUACCCUUCGUCCAGUAUUUUCAUGUUACGUCUUUGGUGGCCUCUUCUUCUUUCGUCGGGGGAGCACCGUCUAUCCGGUAGACGUCACGGGCCUAUGUGAGUUCGAUAAAAUACGCGAGUUGGUCUGAAUGAGUACUUCUUUCGCUCAUCGUUCAGGAGAAGGGUCUAAGAACCUUCUCAGCGACAAAAGCUAGGCCUUUUGUAUGUUAGCGAUGUGUUAAGUGGAAAAAGGUGAAUCCCAUGAUUACCGGAUGUUGUGAUAUUGGAAAGAAAACUGUUAUGCUGGUACCAAACAAAAACUGUGUUAUACUCGAGCGCCUUCAAGAUAUAGCAUUUUAAGGCAUACUAAAAGGGCUGUAGCUGAGAUGUGAUGGACUCUAGAGAGCGCUUCCUAUUAAAUGGUUGCGAUAAUUGAGUGCAGGUCGAUUUCUGAAUGUAUCUGACGAGUGAGUCAACGGAUGCUGUUCGUACUCAACAAUUCAAAUAUCUUUAACCUUUUUUUGGACCUACUGUACAGGACUGCAAUAGGAAACAGAGCGCUUGUGGGCAUUUUCUGGCUGGUGAGAGACCAUGGGGCUUUAGAAAAGCGAACUUUGUCUGCCGUCUCAAAUAUGGAAGCUGGAAGAAACGUCCAAAAACAGAGAAUAUCAUUUUCGUGCAACAAUGAAAGUGAUAGUACCUGAAUGAAUACUAAUACCGAUCACUUUCUCACGAGUUGUGAGUCCUUUUCAGAAUCGUAGGAUUCUUCAGUCUUCUGAGGAUCAUUUUGAUUCCUUCUGUGUAUGUUGUGAUGUCGAUAUUGUCAAUGAGCGACAUCUCAGGCUGCCUGUCAAUGUAACUGAUUGAAUAUAUCGAAUUCGACACAAACGGAUAGGAUCCUUCUGCAAAGUUACAUUGGCUGAAACUGGACUGGUUUCUUAAAAAUGUGUUGUUUGCUGCUGGUCGCUUUUGACAUCACUCGGGCAGCUUGGCUGGUGCUUGGUAAGUGUUAAAUGAAAAUCUACCUAGACGUCGGCUUUGCGCAAUCGCUUGGCCAUACGACUUUUGCAUUUUUGCUAUAAAGAAAAGUCAACGACGGUACAACUAAACGAGGGCAGGUAGCCAGACCGACAAGACACGCAGUCAAUCCUAGGUAAGGCUUGCAUCGGAAGGAAACAAAGAAAAACCCGACCGUUUAUGUAGUCAUAGAUAAAAAGAAAAGGUUUAACGGCAAUCAGCUAUAUGGAGAUAAUUUCUGGCGGCAUCAGUAACAUCGAUUCGAUAACCGUCACUUCGUCAGAUUUCAUUGAAAUAAGCAUAUGCGUCUUGAUACGAGAUAACUAUACGUGCAUGUCAGGAUAAACAGGAUUCUAAGUUCUGGUAUAAGAACGCUAAUUUAUAAUACUGAAAGUAUUUUAGGCGUUUGUCUCAUUUAACUCGGUUAUUGAGAAGCUUUUGUUAACAAGAUGAUGGAUUUCAAGAUACAAGAUUAAAAUAAAGCACAUAAUUUUUUCAGUUAUUGGCU